rnacentral:rRNA from 1 species
CCUACGGGGGGCUGCAGUCGAGAAUCAUUCACAAUGGGGGAAACCCUGAUGGUGCGACGCCGCGUGGGGGAAUGAAGGUCUUCGGAUUGUAAACCCCUGUCAUGUGGGAGCAAAUUAAAAAGAUAGUACCACAAGAGGAAGAGACGGCUAACUCUGUGCCAGCAGCCGCGGUAAUACAGAGGUCUCAAGCGUUGUUCGGAAUCACUGGGCGUAAGGCGUGCGUAGGCUGUUUCGUAAGUCUUGUGUGAAAGGCGCGGGCUCAACCCGCGGACGGCACAUGAUACUGCGAGACUAGAGUAAUGGAGGGGGAACCGGAAUUCUCGGUGUAGCAGUGAAAUGCGUAGAUAUCGAGAGGAACACUCGUGGCGAAGGCGGGUUCCUGGACAUUAACUGACGCUGAGGCACGAAGGCCAGGGGAGCGAAAGGGAUUAGAUACCCGUGUAGUC